UGUCGGAUUACUGGGCGUAAGGGUGCGUAGGCGGAUGUUUAAGUGGGAUGUGAAAUCCCCGGGCUUAACCUGGGGGCUGCAUUCCAAACUGGAUAUCUAGAGUGCAGGAGAGGAAAGCGGAAUUCCUAGUGUAGCGGUGAAAUGCGUAGAGAUUAGGAAGAACACCAGUGGCGAAGGCGGCUUUCUGGACUGUAACUGACGCUGAGGCACGAAAGCGUGGGUAGCAAACAGGAUUAGAUACCCUGGUAGUCCACGCCGUAAACGAUGGAUACUAGGUGUAGGGGGUAUCAACUCCCCCUGUGCCGCAGUUAACACAAUAAGUAUCCCGCCUGGGGAGUACGGUCGCAAGAUUAAAACUCAAAGGAAUUGACGGGGGCCCGCACAAGCAGCGGAGCAUGUGGUUUAAUUCGAAGCAACGCGAAGAACCUUACCUGGACUUGACAUCCCUUGCAUAGCCUAGAGAUAGGUGAAGCCCUUCGGGGCAAGGAGACAGGUGGUGCAUGGUUGUCGUCAGCUCGUGUCGUGAGAUGUUAGGUUAAGUCCUGCAACGAGCGCAACCCUUGUUAUUAGUUGCUACCAUUAAGUUGAGCACUCUAAUGAGACUGCCUGGGUAAAGCAGGAGGAAGGUGGGGAUGACGUCAAAUCAUCAUGCCCCUUAUGUCCAGGGCUACACACGUGCUACAAUGGUAGGUACAAUAAGACGCAAGACCGUGGAGGUGGAGCAAAACUUAUAAAAACCUAUCUCAGUUCGGAUUGUAGGCUGCAACUCGCCUACAUGAAGCUGGAGUUGCUAGUAAUCGCGAAUCAAAAGGUCGCGGUGAAUACGUUCCCGGGCCUUGUACACACCGCCCGUC
rnacentral:rRNA from 1 species